rnacentral:rRNA from 1 species
GAUUCCCCCAGUAACUGCGAGUGAAGAGGGAAGAGCUCAUCAUUGGAAUCUGACAGCGUUACGCUGUCCGAGUUGUAGAUGAGGAGUAGUCCAUCUGGACUGCAUGGCGUCCAAGUACAAUAGGCCGUCAGUGGGACAUCAUAGAGGGUGACAAUCCCGUCCUUGAUGCCAAUGUGCAAGUCCGUUACGAUGGCUAUCUCAGAGAGUCGAGCAGUUUGGGAUUUGCUGCUUAAACAUGGGAGGUAGAUUCCUUCUAAAGCUAAAUACAGGCGAGAGACCGAUAGAGAACAAGUACCGCAAGGGAAAGAUGAAAUAGAACUCUGUGAAGGGAGUCAAAAGGCGUGAAAUUGUUGCGAGAGAAGCGAUUCAAGUCAGCGUAGCUAGGCCCAUCAAGCCUCUUUGUGCUUUGGACUAGCUUUGCCAGCGGUCUUGUCCCUUAGAGACUUGACUUUUUUAUGAUGUCCAGCCUGGUAUGCACAGGUAGCCCUUCUUCUGGGGGGGGCCAGUGACAUGGCUGGUGGAAUGGCUUGCAAUCGACCCGUCUUGAAACACGGACCAAGGAGUCUAACAUGUAUGCGAGUAUAAGGGUGGCAAACCCGUAUGCGCAAUGAAAGUAACUUUCGAUGAUUGAGAAUGGCCUGAUGACCAAACAAGCAAUAUAUUCUUGUCCCUCGUACGGCCAUUGCCCAAGUUCCGGGGAAGAUCCCAUGAACAUGGAGUUGGAGCAUACAUGCUAGGACCCGAAAGAUGGUGAACUAUGCCUGGACAAAGCGAAGCCAAAGGAAACUCUGGUGGAGGCUUGUAGCGAUUCUGACGUGCAAAUCGAUCGUCUGAUCUGGGUAUAGGGGCGAAAGACUAAUCGAACCAUCUCAUAGCUGGUUCCUGCCGAAGUUUCCCUCAGGAUAGCAGAGACCUAGUGGAAGUUGCAUGUGGUAAAGCGAAUGAUUAUUGAUCCUGGGGCCCAAAUGGGCCUCAGUCUAUUCUCAAACUGUGAAUGCGUGCGGUUGGACUGUGCUUAGCAAUAGAAGCCCUGCCAGCAAUGCUUCAGUCUCUAGUGGGCCGUUUCUGGUAAGCAGAACUGGCGAUGCGGGAUGAACCGAAAGCGAGGUUAAAGUGCCAGAAUGCACACUAAUCAGAGAUAAAAGGUGUAUGUGCAUGGACACAGCAGGGCAGUGGCCAUGGAGGUUGGCAUCUGCUAAGGAGUGUGUAACAACUCACCUGCCUAAUGUACUUGCCCUGAAAAUGGAUGGCGCUCAAGUGUGUUACUCAUACCUCGCCAUCAGUCUCCAAAGUGAUAAACGGACUGAUGUGUAGGCAGGCGUGAAGGUCAAUCUUCGAAG